CCUACGGGAGACAGCAGUGGGGAAUAUUGCACAAUGGGGGAAACCCUGAUGCAGCGACGCCGCGUGAAGGAAGAAGUAUUUCGGUAUGUAAACUUCUAUCAGCAGGGAAGAAAAUGACGGUACCUGACUCAGAAGCCCCGGCUAACUACGUGCCAGCACCCGCGGUAAUACGUAGGGUGCAAGCGUUAUCCGGAUUUACUGGGUGUAAAGGGAUCGUAGGCGGGUUAGCAAGUCAGAAGUGAAAGCCCGGGGCUCAACUCCGGGACUGCUAUUGAUACUGUUAAACUAGAUUGCAGUUGAGGUAGGUGGAAUGCGUAGUGUAGCGGUGAAAUGCUUAGAUAUGACGAAGAACACCGAUUGCGAAGGCAGCUUACUAGACUGUGACUGACGCUGAGGCUCGAAAGUGUGGGUAGCAAACAGGAUUAGAUACCCCAGUAGUC
rnacentral:rRNA from 1 species